CCAAACACUAGUUUGCUCCUCAGUCUCACGUUGGUCACUUCUAAUACUGGUACUGGGAGCUCAGCCUUUAUGGAGAGGGCAGGAUACAGACACAGAUGAUGUCACCUCCCUGGUGGGAGCUGAUCUGACCUGGGACACACACACAGGCCAACCGCCUAUUUCUCAUUCAGCGAGUUUUCAUUUUUACCAAUACAGGCCCAUAUCCCCGAGGAUUUAAAGUCUAAGAGCAUUUUCAGAUCCAGCAGACCACACUGAGUGACAAGACAGCACCUACUGCCUUGAGGAGCCACCAGAGGAAAAACAAAAAACUGUGAUGACUUUUCACACGAGCCAGAGCCAUCCAGCAAGGAAAAGGAAAAGAGAGCAGGCUAAGGAAGUUUGUAUGUGAUCACCUUUCACUGUCAGGGGCAACCCGCUGUUCUGAGAUCUACCGACCAUCCUACUCACAUCUACAUCACCUCACAUGUACUCUGAGAUCCACUCUGCAGGGUGGGGGAGCACUUUCCCUCGGUUUCUUUGACAUGAACUAUCUUCAUGUGGAAAAGAGUUUCAUGUCCUCUUGGACUCCUCAAGCAGCUUAGCAACUGUUUUUAAAAGGGCCGGUCCAUUUCAUGUAUGUCCAUAUACAGGGAUAGUUAUGUCCAUAUAUAGGGAAACAAGCCCUAGUUGUUCCCAGCGACAGUCUUGAAAUACAUGAAGCAAAACAGUUGAUACCUUAAUUCCCCUCUUUUAAUAACUAGAAUCACCAGCCAGAAGACCAACAAGAAAACAAAAGAUGUGAACAAGAGUAUAAACUGUCUGACCUAACUGACACAUAGGACAAUCUACACAAUCAUAUCCAAAUACACCUUUGUCCUCAAAUGCACAGGAAACAUUCUUCAAGAUAUAACAUAUAUUAGGCUAUAAGAAGAUGUAAGACUAUAUUAACUAUAUUCUCCAAAUACACUGGAAUAAUAUUAUAUAUUAACAAGCAAUAAAAUUUGAGAAAUUUAUAACUAUGUGAAAACUGAAUGACACACUCUGUAUAAUCAUAGGACAAGCAAGAAAUCACAAGGAAAAUGACAACAAUCUUAAGAUGAAUAAAGAAAAUAUUCAAAAUACCAAAAUUUAUGGGAUGCAGCGAAGUUGCAAAAGCUCAAGCUAAGAAGAAAAUGUAAAGUAUAAAUGCCUUUUUAAAAAAGAAGAAAUUUCAACUCAAUUACCGAAUCUGUCACCUUAAGAAGCCUUGAAAAAAGCAAACUAAGACAGAGCAAAAAGAAGAAAGGAAAUAAAGACUAAAGCAGAAAUGAAUGAAAAGGUGAAAAAAAUCAUAACAGCAAAAGUUUAUUAUUCAUAAAAUGAGCAAUAAAAUUGGCAAAUAUGCAACUAGACUGACCAAAAAAAAAUUACAGAAGACAAAAAUUAUUAAAAUCAGGAAUGAAAGAAGAUACAUUACUACUAACCUCAAAGGAAAAAAGAGGUUAUAAUGGAAUAUUAUAAACAAAUAUAUUCCAACAAAGUAGAUAAGAGGAAAUGGUCAAAUUCCUAGAAACACACAAACUACCGAAACUGACUCAAGAAGAAAUAGAAAAUCCGAGUAGCUAUAUAUCAAAUACAAAGAUUGAACUAGUAUUGAAAAAACUUUCCACAAAGAAAGUUCAGGAGUAGAUGAUUUUGCCACUGAAUUCUACUAAAUAUUUAAAGAGUUGACAUCAAUCUUUCACAAACUUUUCCAAGAAACAGAAGAGGAAGGAACACUUCCCCAUACAUUCUGUAAGAGCAGCAUCAUCCUGAUGCCAGAAGCAAAAAAAGCUCACACAAGAAAAAUACACUCCCGUAUCAUUUACAAACACAGACACAAUUAUGUAAUGGUGAUGGUUGCGUAAGUCCACUAAAAACCACUGAAUAUGUUAAAAACUGAAUAUGUUAAAAACAGGAUACUUUAAAUGAGUGAAUAUUAUUGUAUGAAAGGUCUCCCAAAAAGCUGUUUUGUUUUUUAUUUUUAAAAAAUGAUGGCCUCCAUUGAGGAAUUUAUAGACAUAAUAAGAAUUUCUAACACUUACCAGUACUCGGAAGGUUUGUACAUAAAGUUCGGCAAGAAUGAAGUAAGACUAUGGGUGGCAGGGUAAGUUAAGGGUGGAGGCUAUUUAGGGGAUAAUACAUGUUUUACUCUUCAGAGAAGGAACAGUUCUUAGAUGAGAGUAGGAGGCAACAAGAGCCAAGAAAUCAAUCCCAUUUGGUAUUAAAAACAUCUGGUUGUCAAUACAUAAAAUUCUUUGGAAGUCACUUUUCUCAUUUGAGUUGGCAUGACUGUCCUGAGUUGGGUUAACA